rnacentral:tRNA from 1 species
GUGCUUGUAGAGGUUUUACGCAAAGGAUUGAAAAUCCCUCGACUUUCGAGUCGUGGCGGUUCAAGUCCGCCCUCGGGCACCA